rnacentral:lncRNA from 1 species
AGUGGCUCUCAACCUUCCUAAUGCUGCCACACUUUAAUACAGUUCCUCAUGUGGUGGUGACCCCAACCAUGGUAUUUUCAUUGCUUCAUCAUAACUGCAAUUUUGCUGCUGCUAUGAAUCAUAACGAAAAUGGAUGGAACUAGAAGAAACCAUUUUGAGCGAGCAGGUAGAGACCACAGUCUCCUUUCUCGACCCCAACAGUGUUUCAGAAUAAAAUGUUCCUCAAAGCAUUCACACCUUGACUACUGACUCAGAAGUAAUAAACCUUCCUGAAGAGAAGAAAACACAGAAAAAUAAUCUCCUGGGGAAUCAUGGACUAGGACUGCAGACAGAGUAAACUGGCUCAGCUCUAUACCAAGGUGCUGGAAUCUCAGUGCUCAGUUCUUCUAGAACACUGUUUCUCCAGGAGUGGCCUCCAGACAACUUGGAAAAUUA